rnacentral:rRNA from 1 species
UACAGAGGUCUCAAGCGUUGUUCGGAUUCAUUGGGCGUAAAGGGUGUGUAGGUGGCGCGCUAAGUCGGGUGUGAAAUUUCGGAGCUUAACUCCGAAGCUGCAUUCGAUACUGGCGUGCUUGAGGACUGGAGAGGAGACUGGAAUUUACGGUGUAGCAGUGAAAUGCGUAGAUAUCGUAAGGAAGACCAGUGGCGAAGGCGGGUCUCUGGACAGUUCCUGACACUGAGACACGAAGGCCAGGGGAGCAAACGGG